UUUUCUAAAAAAAAAUAUAACACCCACAGGCGCGAUACGGGUUUAACGUGCGGGGGUGCUAGAUUUAUGUCGACCAAAGCGAGCCGCGGGAGACUUGGCACUCCACAACCCCUUCUCACAGCGCCGUUCAUACAUUCAUCACACUGACCUAUUAAUCGAUAAUUAUUAAUCAUUUUUCAAAAGAAAAUAAAACACAAAUUUAAGGUAAAUCCAUCCAGCGCGACGGCAGUGGCGCGAAUCUAAGUAAG